UCCAUUAAAGUAUAAAAUAUGAAAGUGAAAGGUUUUUGUAGGCUUUAGACCAUUGUAGAGCCAUAACAACAUUAGAAAUGUUCAAAAAUAAAAUGCAAACUUUUGCAUAGUCAUAAAGUUCAUUACAUAACCUUAAAGUGCAAAGUCAUAAUACCAAAAAAAUAUCAAAAGAGCUUGCAGACUAAUGUAUCAUAACCAAAAGAACCAUCUUAGUCUAGCACCCUGUGUGAACCAUAAUACCAACAAAAGAUAAAGACACACAAUAACCAACUUAGUCUGACCUUUCUAAGGUACCAAAACAAACAACACAAAAGACCUUUCUAAGGUUCCAUAACAAACAACACAAAAGACAACAAAUCAAACUUUUUCCUUCAUUUUGGAUUUAUCCUUAAGUUUGGUUUUCUCCUUCAUUUUGGGUUUCUCCUUUUUUCCAUCUCCCUGCUUCUUUGCCUUGCUAAGCUUCUUGCCCCCUGCCACCACAUUUCUAACUUCAGUUUGUCCCCCUUGUCCCUUGCAACUCCUAGAGUUGUGACCCUUGUUAUUGCAUUUGCUACAAGUAACUGUAAGGAACUUCUUGGUCAAACUUUUACCUUGAUUAUUUGGUUCUUCAGUUUGAGCUCUCUUUCUCUUCUUUUUUGGUCUCCCCACCUGCAUAAUUAAUAAAUUAUAAAACAGUAUAAACGUAUACUAACUUGUAAAUUGAAAAUUAUUUACCUGUUUAGUAUGCUUAGGAGGUGUUAGUGUUAUGGGGAAAUCUGACUUUGGCCACAUACUUCUUCCAUUGAUAGGUUGAACUUUGUACUUGUACAUUUCAUUCCAUGUGCUUAACCUAUAACAUGGAUGUACCCACUCCUCAAGAGGUGGGACAUUUUUUCCCAGUGCCUGCAACUACAAUUCCUGUCCCUCCAAUUAACCACAAAUUGUUCCCCCAUUGUCCCAGUAACUUGAGUCUUAUCAGCACCAUUAAAUAUGCAAGUGUAUUGAGAAGCAUCUUUCUUAACUCCAUCUAAAAGUUUUGUGGCUGGGGGGGGGAGAGGGGCNUUAUCUAUCACAUUUUGCACAAUACAAAUUCGUUUCAUUAAGUAUUCCCUAAUAUAUUCUAAACAUGUAAUUAUAGGUUUGUCUCGAGCAUCUAACAACUUUGAGAUGAAAACUUCACAUAAAUUAUUCAACAAAAUAUCUGUAUGUGCUCUUCCUGUACAAUGCAACAAAAUAUCUUAUAAGAAUCUGUCAAAGUGUAAAUCUUCCUUGAAUCUGUCAAAGUGUCUAACUGUUGUUGCUGUUGCACAUUCCCAUAAAUGAUCUCUGUGCUCCUUCCCCCUCCAUUGUAGCUUCAUGUUUUCGUGAAUAUGUCUUAAACAGAACCUGUGUUCAGCGCUAGGUAAUAGGUUGGCAAUGGCAGAUAAAAUCCCCUAAUUAACAAGUAACAAAAAUGUUAUUUUCUAAAUGUAGUAGACAAAAUUACAAAGAUGUCAUGAACAAGUAUCAUAAGAAGAUUAACCUUUUGCCUGUCAGAAAUAAAUGUGAAGUUUGAAUUUGUAGAGAGCUCCAAAUCUUCACCUAGACACUCUAGAAACCAACUCCAUGAGCUUUUGUUCUCGGCUUCAACUAUGGCAUAUGCUAGUGGGUAGAUCCGAUUAUUGGAAUCAAGACCCACAACAGUGAGAACCUAUCCAGUGUAAGGUCCCUUCAUGAAAGCCCCAUCGAAACCUAAAAAAUCUCUUAAACCUGCCUUAAAACCCAGUUUUAAUGCACCUAAACAGACAUAAAUUCUCUUAAACAUCCUAGUUUCCAAGUCUGCAUUUGGUUCACUGUAUACAUCAAUCUUCACAAUUGUUCCUGGGUUGCACUGUUGUAAUUCUAAUACGUAAUCCCUGAGAAGGCUGUAUUGCUUUUGAUAAUCUCCAUAAACAUGUUUCUGUGCAAGUUGUUUAGCCCUAAAGACCUUCAUUCUUGACAUCCCCACCUCGUAUAUCUUUUGUAACUCUACACACAAAGCUUUGACUGGGAUAGUUGGGUUUCCUUCCACUUCUUGAAGAAUGAUGGUUGUAAGAAACUUAGGCCUCAUUUGAUAGUUGCCGAUUGAGAAAGUGCUGACUGAGAAAGGUCUGUCUGGGUAAGAAAUCCUGAUUGGGUAAGAAAUCCUGUUGUUUGAUUGUACAUCUGACUGAAUGUGCUGAGUGAUGAAAAAUGACCAUUUUACCCUGCUGUUAUAUAUAUAUAUUGAUGGAUUAAAUUGCUGAAUAAUUAUAAAAACAUACAUAUUGUCAUACAAAAUGUAAAUUACACACAAAUAAAAAAUGUCAUACAAAAUGUAAAUUAAACAUAAAUCAUUUAAUAUCCAAAUAAAAACAUAAUGAAAUUUAAAAUAACAUAAUAAUUUAAUGUAAAGUAGGUGAAAGUAGUCGAUUUGCAAUCUGAUCACGCAAAACACGCAUAUAUUCAACGGCUUCUGGACCCCAUUCUAUGCCUUGUAUGUUUUCUCUAUCAAUUCCCCCACCUUGGACGUCAGGAGUAACCAUAGUGUCCUCCUCAAAAUUUCUAAACAAGUCAUCUUCUAUAUUGUAUUUCCUUAUAAAAUUAUGGACCGCGACACAAGCAAUGACUAUGUCUCUUUGCACUGUAAAAGGAUAAGGAGCCAUUUGUUUUAAGAUUGGGAAUCUCGCCUUCAAUACACCAUAAGCACGCUCAAUAACAUUUCUAAGUUGUGCAUGAGCAUGAUUGAACCUUUCUUCUCUAGUUAAAGGUCUGCCUCUUCGAAAAUCGGCUAACCAAUACCUAGUAUUGCGGUAUGGAGCCAUAAACCCACGAGUGUUUGUAUAUGCGGCAUCACAAAGGUAAUAUUUAUCUGCAAACGAAUGUGACAUAUUAUAUAAUGACACAUAUUAUAUAAAGAAGAUAGAUAAUAAAAAUUAUAUAAAGAUUACAAACCUGGUGGAGGAAAUGGAAAUCCAGAAGUCGAAUUGAAUGCAACUUCUUUCAAAACUCUUGAAUCAUGUGCUAUACCCUCCCAUCCAGCCCAAACAAAGGUGAAUAUCAUAUCAAAAUCACAAAUUCCUAUUACAUUUUGAAAACAUUCUCCUUUUCCUCUUCCUCAAUAACGAGUUUGUUGAUCAACAGGUACAACCGCACGUACAAGAGUUCCAUCUAAUGCACCAAUUGCUCCGGAAAAAAUAUUUUUUAACCGUCUAUGUCGUUCUGAGUUAUGUCUUGUUGGGUUAGGAGUUGUUGGUACUAUAAUUUCUUUUGCAAAACACAUCAUUGCUGUUAGGACCUCGUGAAAACAUUGAUGAAUCGUUUGUGUGGAGUGAUGAAAUCUUCCCUUAACCGCGCGAAAACGUUCAUUAUGUCCUAUAACAUGUAAGAAGAUAGCCAUCUUCUCUUCAAUGCUUAUUGUCCUACUAGCUUGCAACCAAUUUUUUUGGGUAAAAUGGUUGCAUAGUAAUGCAAAUGCCUCUUGUGUAAGACGCAUCAUAUCGAAACAUUGUGUAGGGUCUCCGUAUAUCAAAUCUUAUGUAUACGCAUACCCGCUUGAAUCGUUAUCUCUAAUUCUAAGAAUUCUGAUUAGUCUGCGCCGGUUUGACCUCAACCAAUAAAACACAAGUAAAAGAAAAGCUACAACUUCACCAUCAGAAACCAUACUUGAUCUAUUACAAACAAUUAGGUAAUAUGUUAAAGUAAAAAAAAAAUCAUGCACCAAAAAAAUUAGUAAACAUCAUUAAAAGUAACAAAAGUCGUAUAACAAACGUUGUAUAACAAAAUACUAGUAAACAUCAUCCAAAAAAGUCAUCAAACUAUAUAACAGUAAACCAAAAAGUCAUCAAACAUAGGAUCCAAAAAACUAGUAAACAUCAUCCAAAAAAAGUCAUCAAACAUAGGAUCCAAAAAACUAGUAAACAUCAUAAAAAAAACUAGUAUCCAAACUUUUCUACCCGCACCUAUCAAAGGUAACUAUACUUCCUACCCGCACCCAUCACCCACGACUCACAACUACUAUGCGAAAGUCGUAACCAAACUUUUCGAACAUCAGCACUUUCACCAAAUAGCAAAAGAGCGGUCUUGUGUCUUUCAUCUUCUUCUCCCCAUUCCAUUUUGUUCAAUUUCUCCAUACACGCAUCAACAUCCUUAUCCAUUUCACUUUUUUCAAUUCUUUCAUUUUUUUUCCACUAAUAACCUUACAAUCUUGACAAUCUCCUCUUCAACUUCUAAUGCCCUUGCAUCUCUUUUUUUUCCACCAACUCUUUUGUUUCCACCAACUUCCUUAUUUUUGAACGCCCCGAAGAUUCUUCACUUGCACCUACGUGUUGUGUUGAGGUUUCCAUUAGAACAUCAUCAUCAAAAUCAUGGGGACUAAACUCUUCUACAGGACAAGGGAGUGUAGAAGAUGGCCCCCAACUUUGAGAUCCGGUUGAUGUCAACCCUUCAAAUAGUUGGGUGCAAAGAUCAGGGAACAAUAGGGGUUUAGUUUUCAAUGACAACACGAACUUGUUCAACUGUUUACAAUUUUUAUAAAUAUUAGUAUAUGUUAUAAAAAUAAUCAUAAUAGUAUUGAUUAAAAAAAUAAAUUUAAUCAAAUAGUAUAUGUUAUAAAAAUAAUCAUAAUAGUAUUGAUUAAAAAAAUAUUACCUUCCCCUCUUCUUUCCAUUGUUCAUCGGUCAAAUUAAAUUUAUUUUUUAUAGGAUCAUAUAUAUUGCCGGUUUUGUUUUUGAGUUUCACCCAAGCAACAUACUUUGAUUUGUAGUAGUCAAAGUGGUUUCUCAUUUGCUUCUGAUCAACCUCUUUACCGUGUUCGUUUAUCAAUUUUUCGCGUAUUGUCUUCCAUGAACUUGCCUUAAGCCCAGAACCCUCACGACCAUUAGUGGUUAGUUCAUGGAUACAUGCAUCAAGAAAAGUUUUGUCCUCACUCUCGUUCCAAACCAACAUCCUAAAACAUUAAUAUUUAAAGUAAUUUAUCAUAGUUUUUAUCAAGUUAAAGAACAAUUUUAAACAUAAAGCAAUUUUCAACCAAGGAAGUUAACAUCAUCCUAAAUUAUGAUUUGAUAACUUAUACACAAACAAUUUCAGAUGUCACAAAACAUCAAUAUUCAAGCUAACAAUUUCACAAAAGAUAACAAGCUAACAAUUAAGGUCAACAAUAUCAAAGCUAUAAAAUUAGAAAGAAAAAAAAAACAGCCCAAUUUUUGAUUUUAUAGCUUAUACUUUUGAUACUAAUACAAGCUCAAUAAUUGGAAGACAUGUGAUGUUGCAUGCAUUCCCCCUCUCGCCCACUCUUCAAGGAACAAUUGGAUUAUUAAAAAAGUUAGGUUACCAUUAAUCUUAUAAUAAUUAUUUAUUAUUAAUUUUACUUUUGUACUUUACACAUAAAAACACAACNAAAACCAAAAAAAUAAAAAAAAAAAAAAAAAAAAAAAAACAGCCCAAUUUUUGAUUUACAAACCUACUUGUAUUUUCCAAUUCACAUUCAAUUUCAAUUCACAAGCUAUAAAAUCAAAAUUCAAAAAAAAAACCUUCCAAUUCACUUUCAAUUUCAAUUCAUAAGCUAUAAAAUAUGAACCGGAGAAAAAAACUUCCAAUGUGAAUUGGAGAAAAAAACUUCAAAUUCAGAAAAAAAAACAAAAAAACAAAAACAAAAAACAACUACCAAUUCACAUUCUAUUUUAGAAUUCAUAACAUUAGAAAAAAAAACCUUCAAUUUUCAGUUCUUAUACACAAAGAACUACAAAACAAAACAUAAACAAACUUCCAAUUCACAUAUAAUUUCGAAAUUCAUAUAUUAGAACAAACAAUUUCAGAUUUCAGUUCUUGUACACAAAGAACUACAAAAAAGAACAAAAAAAGCUUAUCAUAUGAACAUACAGGUUGAGAAUUCAUAAUAUUCUAACAUAUACUAAUUUGAUUUCAUAAAGAACUACAAAUUUCAUACCAUCAAAGCAUAAAUGGUAUCUGAUUUUGAAAAUUAUUAACAGAAAAAUUAUCUAACCUGUGUGAUGGAUCGAGAAGGCGUCACUGAUGGCGGUGGCGGAGGUCCGACGAGAUGGCACAGGUCCGACUGGUCGGACUGUUUGGCGUUCAAUGUUGUGGAGUUCUUCCUAGCGGCUGCUGUGCUUUUAGGUCACUAGAAGGGAAGCGAAUGGGGAAAGAAAUAAUAACGACGCAGGGGCAAGAUAAGGGCAAGAUUGUCUAAUUUCCAGUCAGCAACUGUUUAAAAACUGAUCCAGAAAGCGAUUUGGGUCAGCAGAUCUUACCGAGAAAGCUCAAAUCAAACACCAAAGGUCUGACCGAGUCAGCCCAAUUUGCUGACUCGACCCAGUCAGACAUUUAUCAAACACUCCCUUAGAAGUGCACUCUUUAAUAGACCUUGACUGCACACAUCUAUGCUCAUGAACCAAAGUUUUCACCAUCCAAUCGCUUUCUUCAUCAGAUCUAGAAAUUAAUACCACCCAAGGGCAUGUUGCUUUUUGUGAGCUGACUGUUUUAUCCUUGCAUUUGAUUCUACUUUUUGUCCAUGGCCCACCUGUCAUUUUCGGGACCACACCCCUGCAUUUUGCCCUAAUUCUUUUUUUUUUAUCAUUUUUUGAAAAGUAAAUGUUUCUCCUAGUUCGAAUUGAAUGCAUUUUAAUGUAGUCCUUCACUUCUGAUGAGGACUUAAAUAUUUGACCCAGAUGGAAUGCAGUUUCAUGUACUACUCCUGAUGAACAUGUGGUUGGUUUGUUUAACCUUCUCAUUAAUUUCUUCCUCUCAUCUUCUUCUACACCAGUUGAUUCAAAUAAUUGUGUAUCUAUCACCUCCAAAUCCUCAUCAACUGUGACAUCAGGUGCAUUGAAUGAUUGGUGGUUAUCUAGAUUUGGAAAAGAAUAAACACCACUGUGGAAGUCUUUCAUAUUCACUUCGACAUCCUCCACCAUAUUAAGUUCAUCCACUAAAAAGUCACUAUCGUCGCUUAUACUUCCAUCGGUACUAGUCUCAUCACUAAUAACAUCUCCAAUUUCUUCAUUUUCCCCCAUCUGUUGGUAAUCAUUAUGAUCCAUAUAAAAGAAAGGAUCAAAGUCUUCUGAAGGGACAACAUCUUGGGCUUUGUUAAGCUCCUCACUUGCAGGAUGAACUCGAACAUCUUUCACUACAUCUCUAUCAAAAUGUCCAAAAGGUACAACAGACCUAGAAAAGUCAUAGUUCUCAUUCAAGUCCAUUUUUCUACUACAUGAUCCUACCUUUGUACUUGUAAACUUUUUUCGAUUGAGUUCCGGAGAAAUAGGCUCAUUGAUUUCUUCCGAUACGACCUUAUUUGGAGAUAUAAAGUAUGCAUGGAGUCUAGUAGUUCCAUGUUCAGUAUACACCAUAAUCUCUUUAUGAUUAGCAACAUGCUUACUUAACAAAAGUACGUCUGAGUUGUUACCUAAAGGAAGUAACCCAUAAUCGAUUUCAAUCUCAGGAAUCAAGAAGUGGUAGUAGAUAGGCUCACCGUUGAUAUAACCUAUCUCCUUCAUCAUAUCGUCUAACUCAUGUACGGAAAACACGUCCAUGUCUACGUAGUCAACAUAGUCAAUACUCCCACCAACGUAACGUCUUCCUGGGUAUUUUGUGAACAUACCCCCAUGGUGAAUCUUGAAUGUGCAAAAACUACUUAACUCAACUGAAAAACAAAUAAAUAAUGAUAUGAGGAAAGAAUGAAGUCUCAAAAUUGAAUGUGCAUAAAUUACUUAACAAAAUUGAAAGUUGUUAACUGAUCACUCACCAUAAGCUUUGAUCAGGUCAGGAUUUUCUGAGAAUUUUGAACGGACAUUCCACAAAGUUAGAACGAUCGCAAAAGAUGAAAAUGAAAACCCUAGUUUCCGUUUGAUGUUUUGAAGUGAUGAAGAUGAAAAACCAGAGGAGAAAAGAAAGGGAUGAUUUCUUGGGGUAAUGUAAAUGGCAGCUAGAUGUAAGGAUCAUUUAUGAAUAUGAUCAUUUCGUGUAACAAAGCAAAAGACCAAAAUACCCUCGUGUGAGGGUCACGUGAUUUAGAUAAACGGAAACAAUUAAACGGAGUAUGUCAUAAGGACUAUUCGUGCAACAAUUUGGAACCAUAGGGACCAUACUCGUCCAAAAUUCCUCAUAAGGACUAUCUUUGGUCUCUUGUGCCAACCACAGGGACCAUCUGUGUAAUUUUGUCUUUUUUUAAAGAUAGUUCAUAAUUUUUCUAUUAUAUACAUUGUAAAUGAAAUUGAGAACUUAAGUAGGUCCUAGGACCUACCUAAGCACAUGGUGGAUACGCCCCUGUUACCCACACUAACCUCAUACACUUACAACACAAAUGAACUUGAACGGUCUAAGACCAAACCAAGAUAUAAUAUGAAAUGUGUAAGUAUAGUUUAAUAGAUGAAAGUGAGGUGUUGUUUGGGCUUGAAAAGUAGGGGUGAGCAUGGUGCGAUUUUUUGAGAAAACCGAACCGCAAACCGCAAGAUGCGGUUUCUAUAGGGUAAAACCGAUAGGUGUGGUUUUUGUUUCGGCGUGGUUUUACAUGCAUUUUCGGUGUCAUUCGAUGCGGUUUCGGUUUUUAACUGAAAAUAUGUGUUGGUGUGAUUUUUCAUACAUGUGUUGAUCUACCAAAGAAGUAAUAACCCCUAAAGAAGCUAGAGCAAGGCCUAAUUGAAAAUGAAGCCAAUUAUUAAUUGUGUCAUAAAGACCCUCAUGCCCACGUCUCAAUCGCCCUCUUGGAGGGAUAUGUGCAUCUAAAAGAUCUUUCAUACUGUGCCCAAUCCCAAAAUUAGUUCUAUACAUAUGCCCAACAAUAAGAAAAAGAAAUGCAAUAGCUAAAUAAUGAUGAGUCAUAUCAGCAUGUCCAAACCCGACUUUUCAGUUAACUUUCCUUUAUUUCCGGUACAGAUUCUCAUUUAAAUGUAUUUAACAUGCUUGUGAAAUAGUUAUAUGUUAUUCUUAUCAAAAUAUAGACUUCUUUAUGAUAUUACGAUUUUGAGAUUUGAAUUAUAUGUUUGAUGCAACAAGGGAUUUGGUUUUAUAAUCUCAAAUUCCAUUACUUAAUCAUUAUUGUUUAUACAGAUAGAGGCGGCUUUUGAUUCGAAUUGCAUUUUGCUUGUGAUAAGCAAAAGGAAAAUUGUUAAUGGUACGCACUUUGAUACAAAUGUCAAAUUUUAUAAAAAUAUAGCAAAACAUAAGGCAUGCACAGUGGCAAAAAGAACUGAAGAGGUCGAAGUUGAACAAAAUAUACUUUUAUUAAUAAGUAUUAUAAUAUAUUAAAUAUUGUCAGGUUUUUAUGGUGCUGUUUGGCAUUGUCCAAACCGCACCACACCGAAAAAUUACCAAUUAAGGUUGGAUUGGAAUGCAUAAUUAUCAAUUUAUCCUUAAUAAGUCAUAAAUCAACAAAAAUGGCCCAACAAUUUUCUUAAUCUUAAUUGUUGCCUUUGGAUUAGAAAUCAUCAACGAUCAAGAUUGGUUCUCACAAUUCUCUAAUCUCUACUUUUAUGUUGUUUUCAUUUGAACUCAACCCAAAAAUCUCACCAGUAAUCACCACACGAACAAAUCCCGUUCUUGAAAUGAUGAAACCUAUUUGUAUCCCGAAGAAUAAUUUCCCGCUCAACAAUCUUGGAAAUAAGCUUAGCAGCAAUAUGACAAUCCUCACAAACACGUAGAUUUUUAGUAAUCCGUAUAGGCGUAAAAGCUUUAGUAUUUAUAAUCACAAACACAAUAGCAAGCUUCUCACUAUGAACAGCAAGAUGAUUUCCUUUAUCUUCAUCUUCUAUAUCAUGAAGUGCAGAAUCCACUUCAGGAACAUACCCAAAAUCCCUCAUCUUCCCCACAAGUACUUCCAACUCUUGAUAAAUCUGUUUAGAUUGUGGAUGGGAUUGAUCUCCAGCAAGAAACGAAUGAACUUGAUUAUUAAGCUCAACAUUACUAACACCGGGCUCUUUUUUCACUCCUUUUGAUUUCAUUAUUGAACGAAUAUUUGUCACAUCUUUAAAUCUACCUGCUUUUGCGUAUAUAUUUGAUAAUAAAACAUAAUACCCUGCUUGUUCAGGGACCAAUUCAAAGAGAUGAUCUGCUGCUACAAGACCAAUUUCCAUGUUGGAAUGAACUUUACAAGCACUUAACAAAGCACCCCAGAUUCUAUCGUUUGGUUUUGUUUUCAUUUUCUUUAUAAAAUCAUAAGCUUCAUUGAUUCUUCCUGAUCUUCCUAGCAAAUCAACCAUGCACGCCAAGUGUUCGAGUCUUGGAAUGAUGUUAUACUCUUCGGUCAUCAAUUUGAAGAAAUGUUUUCCUUGGUUUAGUAAUCCGGCAUGGCUGCAGGCUGAUAGAACUGGAACGAAGGAAAUGGAAUCAGGGGCGAUUCCGGAAUUUUGCAUAUUUGAAAAGACUGUGAUAGCAGUUUCACCAUCUCCAGUCAUGCCAUAAGCAGAGACCAUGGAAGUCCAGGAGACGACAUCUCUUGUUGGCAUUUCAUCGAACACCUUGCGUGCUUCGUUUAAAGACCCACAUUUAGCAUACAUGUCAAUCAAGGCGUUCUCUACUGUUAGAUUAGGAAGAAGCCUUUUUGUUUUUACAUAUGAAUGAAUCUUUCUUCCUAGUAAUAAAGCUGAAAGAUCUCCACAAGCGGGUAGGAUGCUAGCAACUGUGAUUGAAUCCGGGUCGAUUCCGUAAUUCUCCAUUUGUUGAUAAAGAUUAACUGCAUCUUUAGGCAUCGAGUUGUUGACGUACACAGCUAUCAUGACAUUCCAAGAAAUUAAACUCUCUCGAGCGUGAUUCAUGAACAUUUCUUUCAUAAACAUCACGUUGGUAGAUGAAGUAGAAGUUGUUAAAGCAGGGGAAAGGCUGGCCAUGGUGCCUGCGUUGGGUUUUGAGGUAGAACAUUGCAUCAUUGUCUUACAAAUCUCCAAUGCAUCUUCAAACAUCCGGUUUUGGGCGUAGGCAGCAACCAUAGCAUUCCAGGAGACGAUAUCUCUACUAGGCAUUUCAUCAAACACCUGGCGUCCUUCCAGUAACCGGUUACAUUUUCCAUACAUUGUAAUCAAUCCAUUCCCUACAUAAAGAUUUGAAUGCAGACCCUUCUUGAGAACAGCAACAUGGGUUUGUAAUCCGACCCACAAAUUCUCAGACACGGAACAUGCUUUUAGAACUUGAGGAACUGUAAAAUGAUCAGGGUUAAUGUUGAACUUGAACAUGUUUCUGUACAUACGAAGUGCUUUUUCGUAGAAUUCAUUGUUUACGUAGCUUCUAAUCAUCACAUUGAAGAAGACUACAUCUUUUUGAGGAAAUUCAUCAAACAGUUGGCGGGUAACUGCGAUUUGGCGACAUUCAGAAUAAGCUUUCAUUAAUUUCAGAGCAAUAUGCGAUGCUGAGACGAGGUUUCCAUCAAUAAUUAACCUACAAUGUAUCUUUUUCAAUUGUUUGAUAUCUGGGCACUUGUCCAAGAUUUUGAUACACAAGUCUUCUGUGAUUAACAUGAUUGUUAAGGCGAGAUUUGAAUGAAUUUGAACUUAUAUUCCUUUCGCCAUGUUGUACCUGAGGGGCAAUCAAAUAGAAUGGACGAAGAUAACGAAGGUUUACUUGGUGGUGUUCACUUAAAAACAAGAAAUAUGAAGUUCUAAACGCUAUUUCUUGUUAAACAGAAAAUAUUUUGUCCAAUCUAAAAAUCCAAUUUUUGAGUAAGUUCAAGCUUAAGCUCAAAAAUAGUAAGCAAAACAUGUUUAAAAAAUAAAAGUUCGUUUGAAACUCUUUGGAUAGCUCGAGUAUAACAAUCAUCAUAAUUAUAGUCAAUAAAUCAGGCUCAAACAACCAAACUUGAUGUCCAGCCCUUGAUCAUCCAAUUGCCAACUGAAAUCAACUUAGUUUCCGGUUUUAGAAUCGCCCUAACAUUACAUAAGCACCAACUAGUUCCAAAAGUAGUUUUUAAUUCAAUGUCUCCCAUACCCGUGACUUCAAGGGUUUCCAUGUUACCCAACCUUACCAACUUAAGAUAAGUUCUUUACUUCAAUUACUAUAACAGAUCGAUGAGUCAUGUUCUAAUGACCUCUCGUCAUAUGAUGCAAUGCUUAGACUCGAGUCUUUUAAAGUCAAAUUCUAUAAUGAAAUAUACAUUCCUUCAAGUUUCUAAUGUGAUAUAAUCACAUUCUAGCAUGUAUCACUUCUAGCUACAAGCUUCUUACUUUAACAACAAUCACAAUACUUCUAUUGAUCGCUUUGAUUAUCUUUCAGUUCAAUCUUCUGGCUUAAGUCAGAUGCUACAUCGAUCUUGGUUCUCUGAACCACGUACAAUACUUAUCCUAGCUGUAAUCGAUUUGAUAUGACCACUAGGGUCGGAAUAACAAUCAUCUUCUUAGUCAUUACCGAAAUUAUGGUAAUGACACAUGAACAAAACAGAAUCAAUUACUAGCGUCUUGGUAACUCGUGACUUUCCCUGAUCCAAGUGCGAGUCGUGUGCUUCCAGUAGUAUAUGCCUCUACUACCUUUCACACCUACUCAUACUUGUCCCAAGUAUUGUCUUUCAGUUCUCCAAGUCACCAUAAAAGAAUUUCACAUAGUCAUUUAACACAUCGAAUAACAAAACUAAGGUUUAUAUUAUUUCUUGAAACGAUUACAUAGAUAUUCAAGUUCACCUUAUACCAUGCCUUUUAUAUUAGGCUACACCACAUGAUACUAUCUAUAUGGCUACUUUAUAUCUCGAUCUUCAGAUAUAUAUAGAUCCCUACUCCUAAUCCCUUGUAUCGUCACCUGCUUCAUCCAGGUUAGACUUCGAGAAUCUUCCUUUCUUAUCGAAUCUUGAGGAUCCCUCAAGCUUCUUCUUUUCUCAUGCCUUGUCUUAUUCCAGACCCUUUUUCCUAAAUUAGGUUUCCAUAUUCUUGGUUGCUCUAACGGUUGUCUUCAAAGUAGUUGCCAUUUUUACCAUUGCGCCAAAUUAUGCUGGCAAUCCGUUAGCAAAACUAUCUAUCUUGGAGAGUUCAGUAGCACCAAGUAGGGGAAUAACUUCAUCUGCUCGGUGAAUACGGUGACAUACUCAUCAACACUCAUCUUCCUUUUCUUCAAGUUCGAAACUCGUUGUUUAGGUCUAUCAGAUCUAUCUCUGAGCAGUAUUGCAUUUUCAACUGCUCCAUGAAUGCUUCCCACCUCAGGGCUUCUCCCCCAUGGCUUUGUAUCUGCCAAUAACUUCCACCAACUUAAAACUCUGGUCUUUAGUUGUCUGACUGUAAAGACGGUUUUCUGCUUGUUGCUGCAAUUGCAACUUUCAAAUGUCAUCUCUAUCUCGGAGAUCCAAUCCAUGAUCUCUACUGGCUUCGGGCUUCCAGAAAGACUUGGUGGUUUGGCACCUAAGAAGUUCUUAUACAUACGUUCAUCCUUAUCAAUCGCUUUUUUCGGGUCGUUCCUCCUUGCCACUCGGGGUUCAGCUUGACUCACUGUACGACUGUAAUUUCCCUCCUCCGACAAUUCUUCAUUCAGUUCGGGUUGCACGAUAGGCACAAUAGGUUCAUCCCUAUUAUCAAGAAACAUUUUUCUCAUCUCCUCCCUUUGUUCGGCCAUCAUAGCCCAAAUCAUUGCUUAGACUCUUGCCAUCGUGAUUGGCUCGGGUGCAGCUACUACCUCUGGUGCACAUUUAAUCACUCGUGGUUCAGGCUGUUAGUUUUCAUUAGCAUUUUCUAAUAUGUUGCGAGUUCUCACCAUUUCGAUCUAUACACUCUAGAGAUGUUCAGUGUACAGUGACGAGAAUUAAGAUAUGGAAAGCUUUAUUUACGACAGCCAUAUAAAUCUUCUUAUCACUCGUAAAAGUUAUAUACUAGUUCUAAUACCGUAAUUAAAUGUUUGGAAAUUUUGAGCAAAUGACGGUUCAUCAACAAUAGAGCGAAUCUCAUUUAGGAAUUCGUUGAUAGGUCGAUUUCCUUUAGGAUUUUUAGCAAGUUUGGAUUUUAAAGAGAUGAUUCUUGAGCAGGAGGUGCUGGCAUAGCUUGUGUUGAGAUGCUUUCAUGCUUCUUUUGUGGUAAAUACAGAGGUAAUGAUAGGUUGAAUGAAUUGCAUCUGAGCAUGAACCAAGAAUUGCAUCGAAUACUACAUGAUCUUGGCGAUAGCAAGUCGUGUAUUCAUGAUUAGGUUUGGAUUUGUCUUUGUCGAUAAUGAAUUUUGUGGUAGGAUCAGUCACCCAUGUGAUGUAAUCUUCCAGACCUAGUCCAAUAAAUGUGGACUGCACUUGUCGCCUCCAUACAUGGAAGUUGUUGGUGAGUAAUUUGGUAGGAAAGUGACUUGAGGCGGUGAUUUGUAUUUGGGAUGAUUGUGUCAUGGUGAUGUUGAUGAAAAGGAUUAGAGGAGAAAGGCAAGAUGAUCGAUUGACUCUUUAGAGUGUGUGUGCUCUGAUACGAUAUGAGAUUUGAGAAUCAAUGGGCUCGAAUGAAUAAUUUCAUUUACAAAGAUCGAUACAUAUAUAGAUGGUAACGAGAGUUAAAGAGCUAUACAUGGAAUUUACUAAGAAUAGAUUGCAAUUACAUACAAAUAGAAGAGAUUAUUGUAGAUUAGUCAUGAAGAUGUGUACGAUGUUAUAGUUAGAUUGCUUAUUUGCAAUCCAUGUUAGCUAAGUAUGUCAUGUUGAAUACAAAUUGUAUUAAAACAUUAAAGUUCCAACCAUUAUAUGUUGAAGAAGAAGCAAAUACGCCUUAGUCACACCCAUUCUAAAUGAUAUGGAUGUUAUGGUUGUCGUUUCUAUGCAACCAAAUCGUGAUUCCAAGUUGCAGUUGUCUUACCAAUAUAUCAUGUUAGGAAAAGAUGACAUAGCAUGAAAUAUUGUAUGUUACAACAAAAAGAUAUAUCUUAUAGAUGUCUUGCACAUGGGUUAUUCCUUUUUAAGCACUUAUAUAAAAAUAAUAUCACGUAUGUAUGAUAUCUAUUUUGAGAGAUUUUUAGCAAGCAACUCUUUGUCUAUUAUUGUUAUUGGAUAGAAAAAGUAUCAUCUUCGUUGGGAAGAUUUUACUAGGAUUAGAUUCAUAAUAGUUUGUCAAAGAUUUUACUAUUAUGUAUUUAUAAACCCAUGAAGUUUUCUAUUAAAUAAAUAAAUAAAUAACCAUUCACCAUUUAUAUCUUUUUGGAAUAGAGUUUGUUAAAUUCUAAUAUAAAUAAAAAGAGUAUUUAUUUAGAUUCACACAUUACAAAAUUACAAACUCCAAGCAUAAAUCCGAAACUUAUUUUUAAACUUCUUCAUUUAUAUUACAAGUUUUAUUCUUUUUUCCCAACCCACUUGGGGUUUCGAAACCCUAAAAAAGUUCUAUCCAUGGAAGUUCAUAUUUAUUUCUUAUCUUAAUGAAUUUAAGGUCUAAAUCAAUAAAUGGCAAUGUAGAAUUAACCGCAUAUAUUAAGUUAUUUUUGGAAGCUUUCCAACACAACACAGAAAGGAAAUGAUGAGAAUUUAUGGUACCAAAUAACAAAAUAAUCCCGGUUCCUAUAAAAAUUUAUUAAAGCUCUACUCAUGAUUUCAUAAUCUCCUCUAAUAUGAGGGUUACGUUAUUGUAAUAAUAACUAUGAUAAUGUAAAAGCCAUAACAUAAAUCGUCUUAAUUUAAGAAAUAAUAUAAAUCCCAAGAUAUUGUUUUUAAAAUAAAAAGGAAAAAAGUGGGAGUCCAUUAGAAGGAGCCAAGCUGAUUAUUUGAGCCAAGAGAGCACCGAUUUGUUAUCCUUCCACUGUUCGAAGCGAGAGGUUAUCGCAGCUCUGUGAAGCCAGCCUAACGCAUUGCCCUCUGCUCUAGGAACCAAGAAGCCCAAGCCUUCGCUCAAGCCACUUGAUCCAACUCCGAACUUGGAACGGGCAAACCAGAUUUUGCAACAGCUUUGACCCAACCAAACAAGGCUCGAUCUCAGUCCAUCCCACUUUAGAGCCCUCACUUGAGUCACAAGCUCGC
rnacentral:lncRNA from 1 species